GAUGAAGAACGCAGCGAAAUGCGAUAAGUAAUGUGAAUUGCAGAAUUCAGUGAAUCAUUGAAUCUUUGAACGCACCUUGCGCUCCUUGGUAUUCCGAGGAGCAUGCCUGUUUGAGUGUCAUUAAUAUAUCAACCUUCUCUUUUUUGAGUUGUUUGGAUGUGGGGGUUUGCUGGCCUCUUAAAUGAUUCAGCUCCCCUGAAAUGCAUUAGCAGAACAACCUGUUCAUUGGCGUGAUAAUUAUCUAUGCUAUUGAAUGUGAGGGCAGUUCAGCUUUCUAACCGUCCUUGGACAAUUCAUCAUUAAUGUGACCUCAAAUCAGGUAGGACUACCCGCUGAACUUAAGCAUAUCAAUAAGCGGAGGA
rnacentral:misc_RNA from 1 species